GGGCCGCUAGCUCAUCCGGUAGAGCACCGCCCUUUUAAGGCGGGGGUGCUUGGUUCGAGACCAAGGCGGCUCACCA
rnacentral:tRNA from 1 species